rnacentral:rRNA from 1 species
GAUGAACGCUGGCGGCGUGCCUAAUACAUGCAAGUCGAGCGAACGGACGAGAAGCUUGCUUCUCUGAUGUUAGCGGCGGACGGGUGAGUAACACGUGGAUAACCUACCUAUAAGACUGGGAUAACUUUGGGAAACCGGAGCUAAUACCGGAUAAUAUUUUGAACCGCAUGGUUCAAAAGUGAAAGACGGUCUUGCUGUCACUUAUAGAUGGAUCAGCGCUGCAUUAGCUAGUUGGUAAGGUAACGGCUUACCAAGGCAACGAUGCAUAGCCGACCUGAGAGGGUGAUCGGCCACACUGGAACUGAGACACGGUCCAGACUCCUACGGGAGGCAGCAGUAGGGAAUCUUCCGCAAUGGGCGAAAGCCUGACGGGGCAACGCCGCGUGAGUGAUGAAGGUCUUCGGAUCGUAAAACUCUGUUAUUAGGGAAGAACAUAUGUGUAAGUAACUGUGCACAUCUUGACGGUACCUAAUCAGAAAGCCACGGCUAACUACGUG